GUUAAAUAUCUGACUCAAGACUGGCUUUCCUGAUAUGAAUAGCUCUUCCAAGACGUAAGAGAAUAGCCACCUUGGUUUUGAUAACUCUGUGACUCUCUCUACCUGACCUCCUGCCUUAACAAUUUUAGGAGAUAAAUACCAGAAAAAGUGAUGGGAUUUUUAUCAGCUCCACAAUUCUCUACAGCUUACAGUCAGAUUUAACGCUUUUCUCCAUGACAAAUAUGAUAUGUCUUUAUCACUAGCAGAAAACAAUACAUCCCUAAGCUACAUGAAUGUCAUUUAAUGAAUAUAAGAACUGAGUAGGAAACAAAUCCCUCAGGGAAAACGAUCAGUAAACUCUUAGAUCCCUAACACCCCAAAUUCUCCAGGGCAGGCAAAGAGAGGCAGGAGGUUCUUUGGGGAGAAGUGCAGAACAUACAAGCAAUCUGAGAUUAGACAGAGUAGAUGGUCUUGUUCAGAGUGUUGCUUAUUUUGCAGGAAAUGAAUAGAGUUUCACGAAAGAAAACUAUCUAGAUAGGAGAGAGGGAAAGAUAGGGUGUUUCAGUUCAGUGGGCUGCUUUCUUCCACCCAGUAAUUCAGAGAGCUGAUUUGUUCUGUUUAUGGCUCCCCCAGUGCCUCAGCUCUAGUAGACCCUUGUUUUCUGGUGGAAGAAAAGGGAAAAGCAGAAUGGAGGAAACUCACCAGCUUCCUGACAGCCUUUGCCUGAAAGUGACAAAUACCACGUUUGCUCAGAAUCUAUGGGCAAUAAAAACCUGUCUUCUACCUUGAAAAGCCUGCCCAUUGAGUGCCUUGAAAUGAGUGUGAUUGGAUGUCACUGUUUAGCCUGCCUUAAGGUGAGAGUAACAGAUAACACCUUGUACAUCGGAUUUCAGCUUUAAAGAAGGUAACAAAAGGAAUCGGAAAACAUUUCUCUUUGAAGCGGUUACCUUAUUUCCCUACACAAAAGUUAGCUACUGUCUGUGCCAGCUGUUCCUCACAUGACCAAGUGAGCCUUGGGAACAUGGGAGUCCUGGAGAGAGAAGAGGCCUGCCCUAGGCAGAGUCCUGGAGGCUCUGUGGGCAACACCAGCACCCCUACUGACACUGUAUCAAC
rnacentral:lncRNA from 1 species